UACAGAGGGUGCGAGCGUUAAUCGGAAUUACUGGGCGUAAAGCGUGCGUAGACGGUUAUUUAAGUCGGAUGUGAAAGCCCCGGGCUCAACCUGGGAAUUGCAUUCGAGACUGAAUAGCUAGGGUACGGUAGAGGGAAGCGGAAUUUCCGGUGGAGCGGUGAAAUGCGUAGAGAUCGGAAAGAACACCAACGGCGAAAGCACUCUGCUGGGCCGACACUGACACUGAGAGACGAAAGCUAGGGGAGCGAAUGGG
rnacentral:rRNA from 1 species